rnacentral:rRNA from 1 species
UACGUAGGGUCCGAGCGUUUGUUCGGAAUUAUUGGGCGUAAAGGGCGCGUAGGCGGCUUUGCAAGUGACGGGUGAAAUCCCCUCGGCUUAACCGGGGAACUGCCUGUCAGACUGCAUGGCUUGAGACCGGGAGAGGUGAGUGGAAUUCCCAGUGUAGCGGUGAAAUGCGUAGAUAUCUGGAGGAACACCGGUGGCGAAGGCGGCAUCCUGGACCGACACUGACGCUGAGGAGCGAAAGCCAGGGGAGCAAACGGG